UACGGGGGGGGCAAGCGUUGUUCGGAAUUACUGGGCGUAAAGGGCUCGUAGGUGGCCAACUAAGUCAGACGUGAAAUCCCUCGGCUUAACCGGGGAACUGCGUCUGAUACUGGAUGGCUAGAGUUUGGGAGAGGGAUGCGGAAUUCCAGGUGUAGCGGUGAAAUGCGUAGAUAUCGGGAAGAACACCCGUGGCUAAGGCGGCUCUCUAGUACGGUACUGACGCUGAGACGCGAAAGCGUGGGGAGCGAACAGG
rnacentral:rRNA from 1 species